UACAGAGGUCCCAAGCGUUGUUCGGAUUCACUGGGCGUAAAGGGUGCGUAGGUGGUCAGGUAAGUCUGAUGUGAAAGCUCUGGGCUCAACCCAGAAAUGGCAUUGGAUACUAUCUGGCUAGAGGAAUGGAGGGGGGACUGGAAUACUUGGUGUAGCAGUGAAAUGCGUAGAUAUCAAGUGGAACACCAGUGGCGCAGGCGAGUCUCUGGACAUUUCCUGACGCUGAGGCACGAAAGCCAGGGGAGCAAACGGG
rnacentral:rRNA from 1 species